AGAGCGAACGCUGGCGGCAUGCUUAACACAUGCAAGUCGCACGGGCACUUCGGUGUCAGUGGCGGACGGGUGAGUAACGCGUAGGUAUCUAUCCUUGGGUGGGGGACAACGGUUGGAAACGACUGCUAAUACCGCAUGAUAACUGAGGUUUAAAGGCGCAAGUCGCCUGAGGAGGAGCCUGCGUACGAUUAGCUAGUUGGUGGGGUAAAGGCCUACCAAGGCGACGAUCGUUAGCUGGUCUGAGAGGAUGAUCAGCCACAUUGGGACUGAGACACGGCCCAAACUCCUACGGGAGGCAGCAGUGGGGAAUAUUGGACAAUGGGCGAAAGCCUGAUCCAGCAAUGCCGCGUGUGUGAAGAAGGUCUUCGGAUUGUAAAGCACUUUCGACAGGGACGAUGAUGACGGUACCUGUAGAGGAAGCCCCGGCUAACUUCGUGCCAGCAGCCG
rnacentral:rRNA from 1 species